GGCAGUUCUCGGGUGUUGCACCCCAGAAUCGGGCUCCCUCCUCUCUGGUUCUGGGUGCAUCAUCCAAGAACCGCA
rfam:Myotis lucifugus cont2.29594, whole genome shotgun sequence.